rnacentral:rRNA from 1 species
UACGGAGGGUGCAAGGCGUUAUCCGGAUUCACUGGGUUUAAAGGGUGCGUAGGUGGGUCUGUAAGUCCGUGGUGAAAUCUCCGAGCUUAACUUGGAAACUGCCAUGGAUACUAUAGGUCUUGAAUACUGUGGAGGUCAGCGGAAUAUGUCAUGUAGCGGUGAAAUGCUUAGAUAUGACAUAGAACACCAAUUGCGAAGGCAGCUGGCUACACAAAUAUUGACACUGAUGCACGAAAGCGUGGGGAUCAAACAGG